GUUCCCGGGCCUUGUACACACCGCCCGUCACACCAUGGGAGUUUGUUGCACCAGAAGCAGGUAGCUUAACCGCGAGGAGGGCGCUUGCCACGGUGUGGCCGAUGACUGGGGUGAAGUCGUAACAAGGUAGCCGUAUCGGAAGGUGUGGCUGGAUCACCUCCUUU
rnacentral:rRNA from 1 species